UACGGGGGGAGCAAGCGUUGUUCGGAUUUACUGUGCGUAAAGGGCGCGUAGGCGGUCAGUGCAAGUCAGUUGUGAAAUCUCCGGGCUUAACUCGGAAAGGUCAACUGAUACUGCUCGACUAGAGUGCGGAAGGGGCAACUGGAAUUCUUGGUGUAGCGGUGAAAUGCGUAGAUAUCAAGAGGAACACCUGCGGCGAAGGCGGGUUGCUGGGCCGACACUGACGCUGAUGCGCGAAAGCCAGGGGAGCGAACGGG
rnacentral:rRNA from 1 species